UACGGAGGGUGCGAGCGUUGUCCGGAAUAACUGGGCGUAAAGGGCGCGUAGGCGGCUCGUGAAGUCAGUGGUGAAAGCCCAGGGCUCAACUCUGGGUCGGCCACUGAUACUCGCGAGCUCGAGUUUGGUAGAGGCAGAUGGAAUUCCGGGUGUAGCGGUGAAAUGCGUAGAUAUCAGGAGGAAUACCGGUGGUGUAGACGGCUCUGUGGACCGCCACUGACGCUGAGACACGAAAGCGUGGGUAGCAAACAGG
rnacentral:rRNA from 1 species